GAAGGGAUGGAAAAAAAUCCCUUAUUCUUCCUUUCCCCUUUCCUCUUUCGCGCCAGUCUCUCUCCCUCACCCAAAAAUUUCAGCCUCCACAUUUUUUGUAGAGAGCUCCGGCCACUAGCCCAUCCACCGUCACUCGUCGACGCUACUCCAUCACUGCUCAUCAACCUCUGUCAUGCUAUCGCAGUUCGUCAACCUCUCUCGCCAACACACUGCCAUGUGUGCCACCAAUCUAAGUCACACAAAUCUGCUCUAUCAGCUCCUACAGGUCACACUCGUCGUGCGCCAUCGUUUGUCACCAUCAUCGCUGAUCUUGCCUCCACCCUCCAUCACCGCCUAUUUCAAUUUGGUGUUGGAUUCAAGGUUCGAAGGGAAUUAGAAGUUGGAAAUGAACUGCCCAACAUUAUUAAGGUAUUUAUUGGUGGAUUAAGGUGAGUUUUAUGAGUUUGUGAAGUUAUUAGCUUGGGGUUGAUCACCCAUAAAUUUGUUGGACUAAAAUUUGUUUACUCAUAUUGUUUCGACUCUGGAUCAGAGUUUUGGAGGUUGUCAAAGUUGUUGUCUAGUAGGUGUUGAAGUUGGAUUUUGGUGAAAUUUGGAACAUAUUGGUUUGGAGCAUUUGAGGUGAUUUUUGGACCAACGCACCUUGGGACUUGACUCAAAUCUUAUUGAACAAAUAGGAGAUAAGCUUGCUUGAACAUAUUUGGGCUUAUUAUCAAGGUAAGUGAUUUACUAUUGAUUCACCUUCAAAUCCCAAGUUGAUGUUAAGCUUUGAGUACGCCGAAUGCAUGCAUUUAUUUUGAUGGAAUGAUCUGCUAUGAUUUAAUUGAUGGAUGGAUUGUUGGUGGUGUUCUGGAAACCUUCGACCAUGUUACUAAGGUUAGGAUAUCAUGUUUAUGGAUGGUGCAAAAUAUGAAUGUCGAAUGUUGCAUGAUUAGACUGUUGGUGACUGUUAGUGUUCUUAUUGAGCUGUGUACAUCGCAUAUUUGUGAACCUUCAAGUUCGCAUCUUAUGAUUAUGUUCCAGUGUUCCUAAGGGAUCACCACCUAUGCCUAUGAUUGUGACCCUCUAAGAUCACUACUUAUGAAAGCGUUCCUUCGAGUUCGCCGCUUACGCUUAUGCCUAUGAUACAUGAUGCACACCUGUGACUCGACAGGGAGGCUAAUGGUCACCUAGGUCCAGUAGUGGGUCACUUACUAAGUAUUUUUGUACUCACCCUUUCUUAUGAUAUGUUUUUUAGGUUAGAGCAAGGACUAACCAACGAAUGAUAAGAAGAAUCUGUAACCAUGCCAUUGGGACCAAACAGAAGCUUUCGCACAUGUCUUUCACAUUUCUCAUGCUACAGUCGUUAACAGUCAAAUGUUUGGGGUUUUAAAUUAUGUUUCUUAAUUGAAUUUUACGUUUUAAGGGGACCCCGAUCAAAGAUUUCUAGUUAUUUUAAUUUUUGUAAAAGAAAUUUAUUUUAUGAAAUUCUUUUGGUUUUGGUCAUAAUUUGUAAAGAGUCGUUUGAGAAUAUUCAUGCAUGUAGUAACAGUCCAAUUUCACUCCUA